AUCCAGCUGACGAGUCCCAAAUAGAACCAAAUGUGCAUCCUAGAU
rnacentral:hammerhead_ribozyme from 1 species